rnacentral:rRNA from 1 species
AACGAACGCUGGCGGCGUGCUUAACACAUGCAAGUCGAACGCGAAAGGGACUUCGGUCCUGAGUAAAGUGGCGCACGGGUGAGUAACGCGUAGAUAACCUGUCCUUGUGUUCGGGAUAAUAUGCCGAAAGGUGUACUAAUACCGGAUACUCUUGCUUUUCACAAGUUAUGCAAGCAAAGGUGGCCUCUGACAUAAGCUACUGCAUGAGGAGGGGUCUGCGUACCAUUAGCUAGUAGGUGGGGUAAUGGCCCACCUAGGCGACGAUGGUUAGCGGGUCUGAGAGGAUGAUCCGCCACACUGGCACUGGAACACGGGCCAGACUCCUACGGGAGGCAGCAGUGAGGAAUAUUGCGCAAUGGGGGCAACCCUGACGCAGCGACGCCGCGUGAGUGAGGAAGGCCUUCGGGUCGUAAAGCUCUGUCAAAGGGAAAGAAGUGCAUGGAGGUUAAUACCCUUCAUGUUUGACGGUACCCUUAAAGGAAGCACCGGCUAACUCCGUGCCAGCAGCCGCCGUAACAC